GGGUGCUGUGGUGCUGGUUUCGCUUAGUAGCUGAGCAGGUUUGAAUGGUACUUGUGUGCUGUGCUCUCUGUCAUGCCGCUGGAUGCUGUGGAGGGUGCUCAGGCAAGCCCCGAAGUUGUGACAUGGUGAGCACAUGAUCACUGCCAACAAUGGGGAGAACCAUGGGUCUGAGGAGCGCGAGCUGGUGUGGUGGGUCUUUCCCGGGACUGAGUGGGAAUCGGCGGCCACGUGUGAGGUCCUAGCCACUCGCUGAACCCAGUUGUAGCCUCAGAAUAACUUCACUGUGGGGGCUACAUCUGUGCAGAGCAUUUGGCUUGUGUGUAGAAAGAUCCUUGGCAUGAUCCCAAACUCAGAGAGUCCUAGUUUCUACAAUCCAUUUGGAGUUAAUUUUGUGGUGGUUAUAAAAGGCAUCUCAUGUGCUGGGUAGCAAUCCAAUAUCAAGCUGUGAUGUGAAAGAGUAGAAUUGAUGAUGUAAAGGAUUUAAUAAAGCUUAGGAGAUAGUAAGGCACAGCAAGUAGAAUUUAGGUGAGGGCUGACUGCCUGUAAAACACCCCACAGAUAAGUAAUGUGCUAGCCAGGGCAAUUAGAGAUUAGGAAGCUAGGAUACACAUGUUUGUUCACCAGGAUUGUCCAGAAAUAUGGUGCCAAACCAUAACAAAGGAAACAAACUUGAUUUACAACCAGCCACUAGGUCCAUCUCCAUAUCAAAGAGCAGGCCUUUAACAAGCUGCUCUAUGGAGCAUUACAGGAUUACAAUCAACAGUAAGGCCUAGUGUGCUAUAAAGGUUCAAUUUUCUUCUUGAGAAAAGCAUAGUUCUGCCACAUGGGUGAGAUGAUACCUAGUGACAACCAUUUGAGAAGGUAAAAAACAAAACAAAACACUGUUGUAUUGAGUGCUGGUCUGAUCGAGUUACACUUUCCCUGAAGUUGCAUCAGGUUCUGAGAACACAACUCUUUCCACUGUAUGGGGCUGUGGUUAUCAGUUCCAAGGCCACUAGAGGCUUGGUCUGAAAUGUUUUUAAGAUAUACCGAGUUCUUUUGCAGCAUUGUUUGAUUAGACUUCUCCUGACUGUGUCCCAUUGCAUGAUGCUGCUGCUAACUUCAUAGUUUCUUCGUCUUUCUGCUGACUUCAUAGAUGUCUCCCAUCUCCUUCCUUUUCCCUCUUGACAACCGUGUACAAGAUGGUAUUCUUAAGAAGCUUACUUAGCAUAAGAAAUAGCUUGUUUAAGACCUCCUCACCCCAGCUUUUAUACUUUGUACCUUUUCCUUUUCUGAUGUUUUCAUCAUCUGGGACCUUCCACUUAGGACACUGUCACUAACCUGCUGUGUUAGGGCACUGGUGUACUUGGGAUUUGAUCCUCGAAUAUGUUUGCUGUGUAAAUUCCCAUCUGUCUAAGUGGCUAAACUUGCAGUCUCCAGUCUACAUUUAAACUGUUCAAAACUUAACCUGGAACCUGAACCUGAACCUAAAAGAGAUUUAAGGGUGGCAGCAUACGUGGAAUGCAAAAUUCAUCAUAGUCUGGCGCCUCUUUUAGCAUUAACCAUGUAGCUAGUCUUUGAUACUUUAUGGUUUCUUCUUUUAACACACACUUAAUCCCCCUCCCCCGCAACUCCAACCCCCUUACCCCUCAUUUCACCCCCUAACACCGGA
rnacentral:lncRNA from 1 species